ensembl:snoRNA U3 Small nucleolar RNA U3
AAGACUAUACUUCCAGGGAUCAUUUCUACAGUUCCUUACUAGAGAAGUUUCUCUCUGUAGGGUGCAUUUGGUUGCUGGGAUCAGAAACCCAUUCAAGCUAGC